rnacentral:rRNA from 1 species
GUUUGAUCACAGCUCAGAUUGAGAGACACUGGCGGGAUGCUUUACACAUGCAAGUCGAACGGCAGCACGGACUUCGGGUCUGGUGGCGAGUGGCGGAACGGGUGAGUAAUGUAUCAUGGAACGUGCCUAGUAGCGGGGGAUAACUACGCACGAAAGCGUAGCUAAUACCACAUCGCCCUUCAGAAGCGGGGGACCUUGGGCCUCCGCACUAUUAAGAGCAGCCGAUAUCGGAUUAGCUAGUUGGCGGGUAGAGGGUAACGGCUCACCAAGGCGACGAUCCGUAGCUGGUUUGAGAGGACGACCAGCCACCGGGACUGAGACACGGCCCGGACUCCUACGACGGCAGUGAAAUUUUUGGACAAUGGGGGAAACCUGAUCCAGCCAUCCCGCGUGUGCAAUGAAGGCUACUUCGGGUUGUAAAGCACUUUUGGCAGGGAAGAAACGGCACGGGAUAAUACCCCGUGCAACUGACAAUACCUGCAGAAUAAGCACCGGCUAACUACGUGCCAUAAAGCCGCGGUAUGCACAUAAGUUAAGCGUUAGAAAUCGGAAUUGGGCAUCAUGAAAAUUUGCAGACAGUUCGGAAAGAAAGAUGUAGAAAUCGGAAGCAACUUUGGAACUGCGGCAUUUUUAACUACCGAGCUAGAGUGUGUCAGAGGGAGGUGGAAUUCCGCGUGUAGCAGUGAAAUGCGUAGAUAUGCGGAGGAACACCGAUGGCGAAGGCAGCCUCCUGGGAUAACACUGGCAUCAUGCACAGCGUGGGAGCAAACAGGAUUAGAUACCCUGGUAGUCCGCUAAACGAUGUCCAACUAGCUGUUGGGGCCUUCGGGCCUUGGUAGCGCAGCUAACGCGUGAAGUUGACCGCCUGGGGAGUACGGUCGCAAGAUUAAAACUCAAGGAAUGACGGGGAUUCCCGCACAAGCGAGUGGAUGAUGUGGAUUAAUUCGAUGCAACACGAAAAACCUUACCUACCCUUGACAUCUCUGGAAUCGAAGAGAUUUGGGAGUGCUCGCAAGAGAACCGGAACACAGGUACUGCAUGGCUGUCGUCAGCUCGUGUCGUGAGAUGUUGGGUUAAGUCCCGCAACGAGCGCAACCCUUGUCAUUAAUUGCUACGAAAGGGCAUGUGAGACUGCCGGUGACAAACCGGAGGAAGGUGAGGAUGACGUCAAGUCCUCAUGGCCCAUAUGGGUAAGGGUUGUCAGGUAGUAGUCGGGACAGAGGGUCGCCAACCCGCGAGAGAGCCAAUCCCAGAAACCCGAUCGUAGUCCAGAUCGCAGUCUGCAACUCGACUGCGUGGCAGAGUCGGAAUCGCUAAUAAUCGCGGAUCAGCAUGUCGCGGUGAAUACGUUCCGGGUCUUGUACACACCGCCCGUCACACCAUGGGAGUGGGUUUUACCAGAAGUAGUUAACCGUAAGAGGCGAUUACCACCGUGCGGAUUCCACUGACUGGUGAAGUCAUCGCCGGUAA